UCAUUACAAAUGUCUGGGGUGUCCAAUCGCCAUGAGGACCCCCCUGUGCAAACACAUCCAUGUGUACCCGUUCCAUGUUGCUUCCCCAGACCAGCAGCCACUGCUGCCAGCCCACACCAUAAUCGGUUCCUGAGGUUGAGGUGUCUGGGGAAGGGCUUGAUAUCAAACCUUUAAACCAAUUAGUUGUCUGAGAAGGCCAUCCGCCGCAAUCAUUAAAAUAUGUUAAAACUUUCAACAACGGAUCUCUUGGCUCUCGCAUCGAUGAAGAACGCAGCGAAAUGCGAUAAGUAAUGUGAAUUGCAGAAUUCAGUGAAUCAUCGAAUCUUUGAACGCACAUUGCGCCCUUUGGUAUUCCUUAGGGCAUGCCUGUUCGAGCGUCACUAAAAACCCCCUCACAUAUAUAAUUGUGGUAUUGGUAGAAGUGAACGGUACUUGCAUUACCUUGUCUCACUAUACCGAAAUGAAUAGGCCAGAGAAGUGGACCCAUGGUAAUUGACUCUAGGAGUGUUUUUCAAUGCUAAACUAGUCUUUGCCCAAGUCAAGUUCUGAGCCACCGGACCCUCAUUUAGUCCGAGACAGAGAAGGUUGACCUC
rnacentral:rRNA from 1 species